GACGAACGCUGGCGGCGUGCUUAACACAUGCAAGUCGAACGGAAAGGCCCUGCUUGCGGGGUACUCGAGCGUCGAACGGGUGAGUAACACGUGUGUGAUCUCCGCUCCACUUCGUGGUAAGCCUGCGGAACACGGGGUAAUAUCGGGUAUGACCUUCCCUGUUGCGUGGGGGGUGGAGGAAUUUAUCGGUGUGGGAUGAGCCCGCGGCCUAUCAGCUUGUUGGUGGGGUAAUGGCCUACCAAGGCGUCGACGGGUAGCCGGCCUGAGAGGGUGGACGGCCACAUUGGGACUGAGAUACGGCCCAGACUCCUACGGGAGGCAGCAGUGGGGAAUAUUGCACAAUGGGCGGAAGCCUGAUGCAGCGACGCCGCGUGGGGGAUGACGGCCUUCGGGUUGUAAACCUCUUUCGACAGUGACGAAGCGUCGGUGACGGUACCUGUAUAAGAAGCACCGGCUAACUACGUG
rnacentral:rRNA from 1 species